rnacentral:rRNA from 1 species
GACAGAGGGUGCGACCGUUGUUCGGAAUUACUGGGCGUAAAGCGCGUGUAGGCUGUUCGGAAAGUCGGGUGUGAAAGCCCUGGGCUCAACCUAGGAAGUGCACUCGAAACUCCCGAACUGGAGUCCCGGAGAGGAAGGUGGAAUUCCCGGUGUAGCGGUGAAAUGCGCAGAUAUCGGGAAGAACACCCGUGGCGAAGGCGGCUCUCUGGGACGGUACUGACGCUGAGACGCGAAAGCGUGGGGAGCGAACAGG